ensembl:lncRNA
GGUGCGCGGGGCGCGGAGGGCCGUCCCCGUUCCCUCCGGGUCCUCCGCGCACCGCGGCUCCCGGCAGCGCGAGGGCGGCCGGCCAGAGCGGUUUCAAACUUAGAAAACUGCGCUCUGAUCGCGGGAACGUACAGACUCGUGCCGCCUCGAGUCCGAUUCUCGGAGCAGGUGUCAGGCGCCCGGCUACUGCUGUGCUGUGGGCACGGCCCGUGACGGUUCUGACGAGCAGCUGGGUAGAGCUCCGGGGGCUGCAGCCACCGAGCUCAGUAACUUCCUUUAAAAGCAACAUAAACAGCACAAAAUUAGACUGUUUUGUGGAAGCAGAAAUGCUUGGUAGUGGUAGGACUCUGUGCGCUUGCCUAGCAUGCCAUUGCAAGGACAAUCAGCAUGGAAAACCAGGACUUUGAGCUCUGCAUCUCUGCUUGAUCUUGACUUGCUGGUUGAUACCAGGAGCUGCUUCCCAGAUCCUCUUGAUUCGGUUCGAGAAGUUAGAAUUACCUGUAAUCAUUGGUAAACCAAAAGUCCCGAAUGGAGAACAAUGACAGGCGCCCACCGAGAAGAGCUACUGAUGACUGAGUUUAAGACAAGCUAGUGCUGAGAGAAUACCUUCAUCAUUUCAAAAACAUCCAGCUCCCACCUGUGCUUUGGGAUGUGAAAGAAUGACGUUGGCAGGUAGAGGCCUCAAGUUCCUCUCGGAUGCAUCUGGACCAUUUUAUUAGGGAGUCCACUGAGCCUGUGAUCAGCCUGAGUGCAGCUGAUGGUGAGCAGCGCCAAGGUGUGGUACUGAGCUGCUGAUCAAAUUGGUGUAUUUCAGAAGACCUGAAAAAAUUAGAUGAUUGAAACAUCACUCGUAAGCCACAGCUUCACCAUGAGGACUUUAGGAAAAGCAUGGCUGCACAGAGUACCUUCACCAGCAAUCUUCCAGGCUCCGACAAAACUAUUGUUCUUGAAGACCAGAAAGAUUGUUAUUGAGCUUUCCACAAAGCUGAAAUAAUGCUGUGUGUUAAAAAAAUGUUAACAAUUUGAAGAAGUUAUAAAAAUUUAUAAGUUGACUGAAUACUUUGGAAAUUUCUGCAUAUUUUAAUAUAAAUAGAAAAUCAAAGAAAUCGUGGAAGAUGGAGGAGUUAUUUCAGAUGCAUUUGGUGCAGUGAUGAGCUCAAACUUUAUUCGAAACUAUUAUGGUAAAAUAGAACAAGAAGAUACAAAAGAGAGAAAGAAGGAAUAGAAAGUGGUGGAAGGGAAGGGCCUCUGGACUGGUUCUCCUGCUCUGCAGCACAGUUACUUGCCUUUCUCGUUGAGGCUCUUGGUCAUCCCAUCUACCACGGUCAAGAAGACUGCCACAUACAGAUAUGGUGAUCAGUAUGUCUGGUCCAGUUUGAAUGCCCUGUCCUGGAGUGGGAAGCAAGUUCUGCACUGUAUGUGGAUGAAGUUAAUCAGUUUGCAGUAACAAAGUGUUGGAAGGGACUUCAAGAGCUUAUCUAUACAGAGCUGGCCAGCCUGUGCCUUGGAGGUGUGUGCAGUAUUGAGCAUUUCAGGGAUGCCUCUCACGUUUGGACAGCAUCAUAUACAAAGAUGUCUGUCCUGACCAGGGCCUCUGGGUAGUCUGGUUCCUGUCUGUGGCCCAACCAUCAUCUUGUGUGAAAAAAAAAAUAAGGUCUGGUCAAUCUCUCCUGCCUAUCAGUUCUUCCCGGACUUCUCUUCAGCUUACUGAAUUAUGUGGUACAUAUCUCACUGAUCUCAGCAGCAUGAAGACUGCAUGGUUUGUUAGAUUGGCUGCUACAGCUCUAUGUUCCAGUGUCAUUUCUGGAUCUAUUCUUAAAGGUCUCCACUCUGAACCUUCUGCAGUUAACCACUCCUGAUGCUUCACUAUCAACUUUUUGGAAGAGUUCCUUAUUGAGGAGUGAAUGACUAAUGUCAUUGUGACUGCUGCCAUCUAAUUUCUGCAAAAGAAUUCUCUGGCAGUUCUCAUGAUUGGCAUCAUUUCCCAUCAUGUGCAAGCUGUUGGACAGAGAAGACCUGCUUCUGAACUGUCGUGGUAUGGAGAAGAUAUAGAAGUACUGGGUUCCUAGAGCAGUUCAAUGCCUGCUGGGGAGAGGUGACAUUCAAGUGAUGAAGAAAUAGGAGUCUGCACCAUUCGUCAGCCUAGCGAGAAGGCGGCUCUAUGCUCACUUUGAAAGAGGGCAGUGCAAAAGUUACCUAGCGAUGUGAGUACUCUGGGCACGGCGGAGGAGCUUCCCACUGAAUGCGGCACAGCGGCACAGCUGCUGAGGAGAGCAUGGCAACAGCAAGAAAUGGAAUUCACUGAAGAAAGCGCUUGACAAGCCAUGUGAGAACCAGCGUGAGCAGCCAGUGGGCACAGCCCCAUCUUCUUGGGACAAGGGAAGUUACGGGAUUAAAUGAUCCUUGAUCACGAAAGCAGGUGCACCGGAGGCAAUCAGAAUGCACGUCUGCUGAAGCCCCG